rnacentral:rRNA from 1 species
GACGAACGCUGGCGGCGUGCUUAACACAUGCAAGUCGAACGGAAAGGCCCUUCGGGGUACUCGAGUGGCGAACGGGUGAGCAACACGUGGGUGAUCUGCCCUGCACUUUGGGAUAAGCCUGGGAAACUGGGUCUAAUACCGAAUAGGACCACGCGCUUCAUGGUGUGUGGUGGAAAGCUUUUGCGGUGUGGGAUGGGCCCGCGGCCUAUCAGCUUGUUGGUGGGGUAAUGGCCUACCAAGGCGACGACGGGUAGCCGGCCUGAGAGGGUGACCGGCCACACUGGGACUGAGAUACGGCCCAGACUCCUACGGGAGGCAGCAGUGGGGAAUAUUGCACAAUGGGCGCAAGCCUGAUGCAGCGACGCCGUGUGAGGGAUGACGGCCUUCGGGUUGUAAACCUCUUUCACCAGGGACGAAGCGUAAGUGACGGUACCUGGAGAAGAAGCACCGGCCAACUACGUG